UGUGGUGUCUCAUGCCUUUAAUCCAGGCAUGU
rnacentral:piRNA from 1 species